rnacentral:lncRNA from 1 species
AUUUACACAAACAGCAUCAGUACAAAAAGCUGCCCAGCAGCAUUACAUAAACAGUAUGCUUCUUUACAAAAUUAUGACCCCCAAAAAUUUACAGACACUGUCAAAAUGCAGUAAUUACAAGCCCACAAGACAUCCCAGACCACACAUCAUUUGUUUCUCUUCCUUGGCACCAACUUCUCUAUUCUUUGCCUACUUUGUGUUUGUAAUUGUUUUCUAGUAGUAGCAGCUU